rnacentral:ncRNA from 2 species
AGCAGAGUAAGGAUAAACGCGUUAAGUGUGGUCUGAACGGGGAGUUGUCAGACUGACGAAAAUCAAUUAACAAUAUCGUUGAUUGUUUGCGGUGUAUAUCCUGCAUCCCGCUGCU